CCUACGGGGGGCAGCAGUGAGGAAUAUUGGUCAAUGGGCGCGAGCCUGAACCAGCCAAGUAGCGUGAAGGAUGACUGCCCUACGGGUUGUAAACUUCUUUUAUAAAGGAAUAAAGUGAGGCACGUGUGCCUUUUUGUAUGUACUUUAUGAAUAAGGAUAGGCUAACUCCGUGCCAGCAGCCGCGGUAAUACGGAGGAUCCGAGCGUUAUCCGGAUUUAUUGGGUUUAAAGGGAGCGUAGAUGGGUUGUUAAGUCAGUUGUGAAAGUUUGCGGCUCAACCGUAAAAUUGCAAUUGAUACUGGGAGUCUUGAGUACAGUAGAGGGAGGCAGAAUUCGAGGUGUAGCGGUGAAAUGCGUAGAUAUGACGAAGAACUCCGAUUGCGAAGGCAGCUUACUAAACUGCCACUGACAUUGAUGCUCGAAAGUGUGGGUAUCAAACAGGAUUAGAUACCCCAGUAGUC
rnacentral:rRNA from 1 species